GGUGAACACUGGCGGCGUGCUUAACACAUGCAAGUCGAACGAAGCACCUUGAUUUGAUUCUUCGGAUGAAGAUCUUGGUGACUGAGUGGCGGACGGGUGAGUAACGCGUGGGUAACCUGCCUCAUACAGGGGGAUAACAGUUAGAAAUGACUGCUAAUACCGCAUAAGACCACAGUACCGCAUGGUACAGGGGUAAAAACUCCGGUGGUAUGAGAUGGACCCGCGUCUGAUUAGGUAGUUGGUGGGGUAACGGCCUACCAAGCCGACGAUCAGUAGCCGACCUGAGAGGGUGACCGGACACAUUGGGACUGAGACACGGCCAAACUCCUACGGGAGGCAGCAGUGGGGAAUAUUGCACAAUGGGGGAAACCUUGAUGCAGCGACGCCGCGUGAGCGAUGAAGUAUUUCGGUAUGUAAAGCUCUAUCAGCAGGGAAGAAAAUGACGGUACCUGACUAAGAAGCACCGGCUAAAUACGUGCCAGCCGCCGCGGUAA
rnacentral:rRNA from 1 species